rnacentral:rRNA from 1 species
GAUGAACGCUGGCGGCGUGCCUAAUACAUGCAAGUCGAGCGAACAGACGAGGAGCUUGCUCCUCUGACGUUAGCGGCGGACGGGUGAGUAACACGUGGAUAACCUACCUAUAAGACUGGGAUAACUUCGGGAAACCGGAGCUAAUACCGGAUAAUAUAUUGAACCGCAUGGUUCAAUAGUGAAAGACGGUUUUGCUGUCACUUAUAGCUGGAUCCGCGCCGCAUUAGCUAGUUGGUAAGGUAACGGCUUACCAAGGCGACGAUGCGUAGCCGACCUGAGAGGGUGAUCGGCCACAUUGGAACUGAGACACGGUCCAGACUCCUACGGGAGGCAGCAGUAGGGAAUCUUCCGCAAUGGGCGAAAGCCUGACGGAGCAACGCCGCGUGAGUGAUGAAGGUCUUCGGAUCGUAAAACUCUGUUAUUAGGGAAGAACAAAUGUGUAAGUAACUAUGCACGUCUUGACGGUACCUAAUCAGAAAGCCACGGCUAACUACGUG